rnacentral:tRNA from 1 species
GCACGAGUGGCGAAACUGGCAGACGCAGCGGACUUAAAAUCCGCUGGCCCGAGAGGGCCGUCCGGGUUCGAUCCCCGGCUCGUGCA